AGGAAAGCAGGGGAUCGUAAGACCUUGCGCUUUUGGAGCGGCCGAUGUCUGAUUAGCUAGUUGGUGAGGUAAAGGCUUACCAAGGCUUCGAUCAGUAGCUGGUCUGAGAGGACGACCAGCCACACUGGGACUGAGACACGGCCCAGACUCCUACGGGAGGCAGCAGUGGGGAAUUUUGGACAAUGGGGGCAACCCUGAUCCAGCCAUGCCGCGUGAGUGAAGAAGGCCUUCGGGUUGUAAAGCUCUUUCAGCCGGAACGAAAAGGUUACGGUUAAUACCCGUGACUAAUGACGGUACCGGAAGAAGAAGCACCGGCUAACUACGUGCCAGCAGCCGCGGUAAUACGUAGGGUGCGAGCGUUAAUCGGAAUUACUGGGCGUAAAGCGUGCGCAGGCGGUUUUGUAAGUCCAGGUGUGAAAUCNCCCGGGCUUAACCUGGGAACUGCGUUUGAAACUACAAGGCU
rnacentral:rRNA from 1 species